CUCUCAAGUCAGACUGCUCAAGCUAGUGAGGCUGAGUAGACAAUACAAAAUACUGAAAUA
rnacentral:tRNA from 1 species